AUAUCGCACUCUGUUCUUCGAUAUCACUCGACGGACCUGCUCGCAAGCAGCCUCUCCUCUCGAAACCAUGGACCUGGACCUCAGCAUGCUAAUCCGCAACAGCGAAUGCUGUGGCGACGUUCUUCUAGUCUUCUAAGCAAGGCAGCCAUGGUCCUCGGACAGCUUACACCACCCACUUUUUUUUCGCCCUGCGGAUGACAUCCAACUCGACCCAUUGAUGACCCAGCAUGGUUUAGGAUAAAGACGCCCAUCUCCCGGCCUGUGACAUGUCCCGAAAAGAACACCUCGAUGCCAUGCGUCGAGGUAUCUUCAAGGAAGACCGCUGACUGAGCACAAGAAUAGAUGUCGCUACAGAAUAGAAUGAAGAAUAUUUCGCUACAACCCCUGUAAGGCGCCUCCCUACAAUACUUGUAUGAAAAACAUUCAUGACAAACUAAAACAAUUUUGCAAAUAAAAAGAAGGCAUUCUGCCAAAACAA